rnacentral:lncRNA from 1 species
AAGGUAGCUUGGGGAGGACCAGCAGGUGGCAAUGUGACUUGGGAAAUGGAGAGUCAGAUGAAGGAGUCUUAUCCGGAGUUAUUCGCUUGAGGUAUGUUUUUGAGGACGAAAACUCUUUUAGGGGGGGAGAGUUGUAACACCCCAAUAAAAUAAAAUAAUUAUUUAAAUUAAGUUAAUAGUAUAUUAUUAAUUUAAUCAAAUAAUUGGGUUAUUUUAUUAUUGGAUUA